rnacentral:rRNA from 1 species
GAUGAACGCUGGCGGCGUGCCUAAUACAUGCAAGUCGAGCGAACGGACGAGAAGCUUGAUUUUCUGAUGUUAGCGGCGAACGGGUGAGUAACACGUGGAUAACCUACCUAUAAGACUGGGAUAACUUCGGGAAACCGGAGCUAAUACCGGAUAAUCUUUUGAACCGCAUGGUUCAAAAGUGAAAGACGGCCUUGCUGUCACUUAUAGAUGGAUCCGCGCUGCAUUAGCUAGUUGGUAAGGUAACGGCUUACCAAGGCAACGAUGCAUAGCCGAACUGAGAGGUUGAUCGGCCACACUGGAACUGAGACACGGUCCAGACUCCUACGGGAGGCAGCAGUAGGGAAUCUUCCGCAAUGGGCGAAAGCCUGACGGAGCAACGCCGCGUGAGUGAUGAAGGUCUUCGGAUCGUAAAACUCUGUUGUUAGGGAAGAACAUAUGUGUAAGUAACUGUGCACAUCUUGACGGUACCUAAUCAGAAAGCCACGGCUAACUACGUG